rnacentral:rRNA from 1 species
GUGGGGAAUUUUGGACAAUGGGCGAAAGCCUGAUCCAGCCAUGCCGCGUGCAGGAUGAAGGCCUUCGGGUUGUAAACUGCUUUUGUACGGAACGAAAAGACUCCUUCUAAUAAAGGGGGUCCAUGACGGUACCGUAAGAAUAAGCACCGGCUAACUACGUGCCAGCAGCCGCGGUAAUACGUAGGGUGCAAGCGUUAAUCGGAAUUACUGGGCGUAAAGCGUGCGCAGGCGGUUAUAUAAGACAGAUGUGAACUCCCCGGGCUCAACCUGGGAACUGCAUUUGUGACUGUAUAGCUAGAGUACGGUAGAGGUGGAUGGAAGUCCGCGUGUAGCAGUGAAAUGCGUAGAUAUGCGGAGGAACACCGAUGGCGAAGGCAAUCCCCUGGACCUGUACUGACGCUCAUGCACGAAAGCGUGGGGAGCAAACAGGAUUAGAUACCCGAGUAGUCC